GAAGGUUUUGAGUUAUGGGAGAGGCAGGUCUGUUAUAUUAGAAGCGCCGGCACACGACAGCAACUGUGGCUGCGCAUUUUCUGUGCUCGUCUGAUCCUUCCAAAGCUCCUCCGUAUCUCCAAGCGGCCAAGUCUCGGCUCGAACAAGCUACCCCGUACGAGAAGGCAGUUUUCGAUUCUGUCAAUUGUUUGAUUUCCGGGGAUAGAGAUGAUGAUGUUGCCUUUGAGUUGCAUUCUAAGGUGGGACCAGUUCUUUUAUUGGAAUUUUUCCAUUUCCUGAUUUGCAGAUGAUGCAGACAUUUAGUUUGGUUAUAAUUGUGGGAGACGUCUGGAAUGCUCCGGAGCGUCUGUGAGACGUUUGUUUUGUGACGGAAGUGAAAAGGUAACUAGCUCGUUUUAACUGUCGAUUGCAAGCACGUCCUAGCGAGGUGCGUCGUGCGUGGGUGACUAUGCGUUGCAGGUCUGUGUUGUCUUGGAUCCGACAGAAAGGCUGGGUCGAGGAGGCGGGGUAUGACUGGAGAGGGAACUGAUUUCUGGAUCGGAACGAAGAAACUAGGGCUGACCUCGGGCUGGACCAGCGGAAGAUCCGGAAGGAGUAGUUGGAUCGGAGGUUGAUCAAGGGAAGCGAGAUGGAGCCCGACCUGGAUUGCCAUAUCGAGCUGGAGGAGAGGAACUUGUACCUGAGGAAGUGGUGGUUGCGUGACGACAGCGGCGAGUAGAUUCCGAGCCAGUCGAGCUUCGACGGCGAGUCAACGCCGGACCAUUUGAUCAGAACCGAGUCGCCGGAUUUCGAUAGCCUCGUCGUGUUUAACGACACCGAGGGUUUCUGAUGGGUCGGAUCGAAACAGAACCCGAGUAUAAG